rnacentral:rRNA from 13 species
CGGGUGAGUAACACGUGAGAAUCUGCCUUUAGGAGGGGGACAACAACUGGAAACGGUUGCUAAUACCCCAUAUGCUUUCGAGUGAAAUGAAUUUAUUCGCCUAGAGAGGAGCUCGCGCCUGAUUAGCUUGUUGGUGGGGUAAAAGCCUACCAAGGCGACGAUCAGUAUCUGGUUUGAGAGGACGAUCAGACACACUGGAACUGAGACACGGUCCAGACUCCUACGGGAGGCAGCAGUGGGGAAUUUUCCG